AUUGAACGCUGGCGGCAGGCUUAACACAUGCAAGUCGAGCGGAGUGAUGGUGCUUGCACUAUCACUUAGCGGCGGACGGGUGAGUAAUGCUUAGGAAUCUGCCUAUUAGUGGGGGACAACAUUUCGAAAGGAAUGCUAAUACCGCGUACGCCCUACGGGGGAAAGCAGGGGAUCUUCGGACCUUGCGCUAAUAGAUGAGCCUAAGUCGGAUUAGCUAGUUGGUGGGGUAAAGGCCUACCAAGGCGACGAUCUGUAGCGGGUCUGAGAGGAUGAUCCGCCACACUGGGACUGAGACACGGCCCAGACUCCUACGGGAGGCAGCAGUGGGGAAUAUUGGACAAUGGGCGGAAGCCUGAUCCAGCCAUGCCGCGUGUGUGAAGAAGGCCUUUUGGUUGUAAAGCACUUUAAGCGAGGAGGAGGCUACCUGGAUUAAUACUCUAGGAUAGGGGACGUUACUCGCAGAAUAAGCACCGGCUAACUCUGUGCCAGCAGCCGCAGUAAAAC
rnacentral:rRNA from 1 species